UAAGGAAUAUUGCUCAAUGGGAGAAAUCCUGAAGCAGCAACGCCGCGUGGAGGAUGAAGGGUCUAUGACUUGUAAACUCCUGUAUAGAAGGAAAAAAUUCCCAUUUGAUGGGAGAUGAUGGUACUUCUGGAGUAAGCCCCGGCUAACUACGUGCCAGCAGCCGCGGUAAUACGUAGGGGGCAAGCGUUGUCCGGAUUUACUGGGUGUAAAGGGUGCUCAGGCGGAUUUGUAAGUCAGAGGUGAAAUCUUACAGCUUAACUGUGAAACUGCCUUUGAUACUGCAAGCCUAGAGUAUGGAAGAGAGUGAUGGAAUAUCUGGUGUAGCAGCGAAAUGCGUAGAUAUCAGAUAGAACACCAAUGGCGAAGGCAGUCACUUGGUCCAUUACUGACGCUAAAGCACGAAAGCGUGGGUAGCAAACA
rnacentral:rRNA from 1 species